UUCAAGUGCUAAAGUGCGACUCCAGUCCAGUUGCUUUGUCUAUUUAUGUCGAUUUUCUUCAUCAACUCUUUAGAUCAUUUGAACAAACUGUGAAGCUAGAAAGUGUGUGUGAGCUGAUGUGGAUUCAGCAGCAUGGAUCAGUGUGAGGACAGAGAGGAGGGAGUCCCUCCCUCUAAAACCACUCUGUGUGGGGAAGAUGAGAGCCAGAGCAAAGGUCAGAGGAUCCAUCAGAGACUCAAACCAGAACUAGAACCAGAACCAGAACCCCAGCUGUGUGUCCUUAAAGAGCAACGACUCAAAGGAAGUGAUCAUUCUCUUUAAAUCUCCUGGAUCUCCACCAUCAGAGAGAGUGGACCCGCAGAGCCUAGAGGUUCCCAGUGGUCCAUCUGUCCAGAAUCAUCAAACACAACUGGACUCCAUAUUUA